CCUGGCGGCGAUAGCGCGGUGGUCCCACCUGACCCCAUGCCGAACUCAGAAGUGAAACGCCGUAGCGCCGAUGGUAGUGUGGGGUCUCCCC
rnacentral:rRNA from 3 species